rnacentral:lncRNA from 1 species
AGACUUCCUCUCUGCACCACUCCCCUGGCUCGAGUCAUCUCCCGGGACACUGAAACACAGAGAUAUUACCUGCUAAGUCACACACCUGGUAAGUGGAUGUGAGAAGACUGAGCCCAGCCAGUAGGUGCUGGAUCUGUGAUCUCAUUAGCAGAUCAGAGCUAAGUAUAGUAGACAGUAACCGAGGCUUCAAAACUGAACCCUUGGCACUAGCCUAUAGCUACCAUUAUACAGAAAGAAAGGCUGGGGCUUUUUCUCUCUAAAACUCAGCUGCACAAGGGGUGUCACAAGCAAUGUAAAUGAGGCCCUGGGUAGGACCUACUCACAGGAGAAAGGGGCUAUGUCUCUCACACCAGCAGACCUUUCUAGCAGGUACCUAUGCUCUGAGUAGAUCUGGGGCUGCUUGGAGCAGAGUUCCUGGCUCUAGAAGAGGAGGCUGGAACUGCACCCUCCAGCCCUGUUGUUGAAUUCUGAGAUAAUCUACGACUCAACCGGAUUACUCCAGGCCCAGAUCUUUUCAAGUGGAAGAGGCAGGGCCUGGACACCUGGUUGGGAAAGCCUAGCUCCUUCGUAGAACAGACACCUACCUCACUUGGAGCAUUUGGUUUUAUCUUCGUGGAUUCCUACCUUCUGUGAAAGAGAUGAUCGCAAAGCCUACGUGGUCACUCCAGGGUGUUCUGUUUCUGAACACGUAACUAGAAUUAAGCAAUCCACAUACCCGGGUAAUCACUAGUACCAUCUGUAUGGGGAAGUGGAAAGCGAUCGUUUCCUUAAGGUCAGCGCUUGCCUAUGUGGGAUUCAUAUGUCUAAUUUUCACACCAGUUCUGCCUCUUACUAAUGGGGUGAGCUGUGGCAGGUCACAGAUCACAGACCCAAGCCACCACUUCUACUCUGCAUCUCACCCAGCAGCCUGCAGUCUCACCCUGGGUCCUGAUAUGGAGGAAAUCACCUGUGCCUUUCUCCUGCUGCUAGCAGGUCUGCCGGCCUUGGAAGCCAGUGACCCAGUUGAUAAAGACAGUCCCUUCUACUAUGGUAAGAGCUGACACCAAUCCCCAUCCCUUCCCCACUCCAUCACAUUCAAUUCUUGUCUGCCUUAGACCUCUUCACCAAGCCAACUGAUGAGGAUGGUACAUAAUCUAAUAGUCAAGGUGGGACGGGACACCAAGCCUGAUCUUCAUUAAGAGCUAAAGAC